rnacentral:rRNA from 1 species
CCUACGGGAGGCAGCAGUGAGGAAUAUUGGUCAAUGGACGAGAGUCUGAACCAGCCAAGUAGCGUGAAGGAUGACUGCCCUAUGGGUUGUAAACUUCUUUUAUAUGGGAAUAAAACGUUCCACGUGUGGGAUUUUGUAUGUACCAUAUGAAUAAGGAUCGGCUAACGCCGUGCCAGCAGCCGCGGUAAUACGGAGGAUCCGGGCGUUAUCCGGAUUUAUUGGGUUUAAAGGGAGCGUAGGUGGAUUGUUAAGUCAGUUGUGAAAGUUUGCGGCUCAACCGUAAAAUUGCAGUUGAAACUGGCAGUCUUGAGUACAGUAGAGGUGGGCGGAAUUCGUGGUGUAGCGGUGAAAUGCUUAGAUAUCACGAAGAACUCCGAUUGCGAAGGCAGUUCACUGGACUGCAACUGACACUGAGGCUCGAAAGUGUGGGUAUCAAACAGGAUUAGAUACCCGAGUAGUC